rnacentral:rRNA from 1 species
CGCGUAGGUGGUUUGUUAAGCGAGAUGUGAAAGCCUCGGGCUUAACCUGGGAACGGCAUUUCGAACUGGCAAGCUAGAGUGUGGUAGAGGGUAGUGGAAUUUCCUGUGUAGCGGUGAAAUGCGUAGAUAUAGGAAGGAACACCAGUGGCGAAGGCGGCUACCUGGACCAACACUGACACUGAGGUGCGAAAGCGUGGGGAGCAAACA